CCUACGGGUGGCUGCAGUGGGGAAUAUUGGACAAUGGACGAAAGCCUGAUCCAGCCAUGCCGCGUGUGUGAAGAAGGCCUUCGGGUUGUAAAGCACUUUCAGUGGGGAAGAAAGCCUUGGGGCUAAUACCCUCGAGGAAGGACAUCACCCACAGAAGAAGCACCGGCUAACUCCGUGCCAGCAGCCGCGGUAAUACGGAGGGUGCGAGCGUUAAUCGGAAUUACUGGGCGUAAAGCGCGCGUAGGCGGUCUGAUAAGCCGGUUGUGAAAGCCCCGGGCUCAACCUGGGAACGGCAUCCGGAACUGUCAGGCUAGAGUGCAGGAGAGGAAGGUAGAAUUCCCGGUGUAGCGGUGAAAUGCGUAGAGAUCGGGAGGAAUACCAGUGGCGAAGGCGGCCUUCUGGACUGACACUGACGCUGAGGUGCGAAAGCGUGGGUAGCAAACAGGAUUAGAUACCCUGGUAGUC
rnacentral:rRNA from 1 species